AGAGUUUGAUCCUGCUCAGGACGAACGCUGGCGGCGUGCUUAACACAUGCAAGUCGACGGAAAGGCCCUUCGGGGUGCUCGAGUGGCGAACGGGUGAGUAACACGUGGGUGAUCUGCCCUGCACUUUGGGAUAAGCCUGGGAAACUGGGUCUAAUACCGGAUAGGACUACGAAUCGCAUGGUUUGUGGUGGAAGGCUUUUGCGGUGUGGGAUGGGCCCGCGGCCUAUCAGCUUGUUGGUGGGGGUGAUGGCCUACCAAGGCGACGACGGGUAGCCGGCCUGAGAGGGUGUCCGGCCACACUGGGACUGAGAUACGGCCCAGACUCCUACGGGAGGCAGCAGUGGGGAAUAUUGCACAAUGGGCGCAAGCCUGAUGCAGCGACGCCGCGUGAGGGAUGACGGCCUUCGGGUUGUAAACCUCUUUCGGUAGGGACGAAGCGUAAGUGACGGUACCUAUAGAAGAAGCACCGGCCAACUACGUG
rnacentral:rRNA from 1 species